rnacentral:rRNA from 1 species
GCGGAGGAAAAGAAACCAACAGGGAUUGCCUCAGUAACGGCGAGUGAAGCGGCAAAAGCUCAAAUUUUAAAGCUGACAUCUUCGGUGUCCGCGUUGUAAUUUUGUGAGGCAUCUCCGGGUAGGGCGCCGGCCUAAGUUCCUUGGAACAGGACGUCACAGAGGGUGAGAAUCCCGUGCUUGGCUGGCUGUCCCCGUCCAUGUGAGGUGUCUUCGACGAGUCGAGUUGUUUGGGAAUGCAGCUCAAAAUGGGUGGUAAAUUUCAUCUAAAGCUAAAUAUUGGUGGGAGACCGAUAGCGCACAAGUAGAGUGAUCGAAAGAUGAAAAGCACUUUGAAAAUAGAGUUAAAAAGUACGUGAAAUUGUUGAAAGGGAAGCGCUUGAGAUCAGACUUCGGUAAGGGGUGAUCAGCCGUCCUUCUGGGCGGUGCACUUGCCCCCCUCCGGGCCAGCAUCGGUUGAGGCGGCGGGAUAAAGGUCCCGGGAAUGUGGCUCCUUCACGGGAGUGUUAUAGCCCGGGUGAAUGCCGCCAGCUUCGACCGAGGACCGCACCCGCAAGGGUUAGGAUGCUUGGCAUAAUGGUCUUCAGCGACCCGUCU